AAUCAUUUCAGACUCCAAACCCUUUAUGAAAAACUUUUGCAGCAAUGACGCUUAGAGUAGUACUUUUCAUCUGUUUGAUUCUAAGUCUUCAAGAAUAUCAAGAAGUAAAUGGUGGAGAUGUAAUACAUUCCACUAAUAAAUGGAAACCUAGAUGUUUGAAGACAUAUGAACCAUGCAAGCGUCCUAGAAGAAAGUGUUGCGAAGGUUACAAAUGUAAAUGCAAGAAAGACCAACCUUGUAGAUGUAAAAAAGUCUGAGUUAAUGAAAAAAUCUCCAUUUUAAAAA
rnacentral:lncRNA from 1 species